CCAGCUCCUUCUCCAGCUCCAGCGUCAGCGCCUCCAGCCGCCUCUCCGCCUGGCUGGGGCCGCUCUCCCGGCACGGCGUCACCUGGUUGGAAAAUUCUACAUUAACACAGUCCUGGUGACUAAUAGCCAAUUAAGGACACUCAUAGUCCAGCAGUUCUGAAAAGCAGCUUUUCACUGAGCACAGCAGCAGUUUGCAUUUCAGUAAAAAUCAGUCCCUUCCAUGUUAAAGGAGGAUCUGGAGCAUUUUCUGGCCAUGUAACUCCUUCCUGCCCAGACAUCAGAGGCACGACGACAUCUGAACAGAUCCCCAGGGGAAUUCACCCCUGUGCAGGUGAGUUUUCCUUUCAUGCUGCAAACCAAAAGAUGAUACAUUGUUAUAAUUACUUAAUGCUUCUCUAAAACUUCCUCUCACCAGCAUCAUAAGAACAAUUAAUAACUUAAGGAGUAGAUACCAGUGAGACUGAAUAGAACCCCCCUAGUUUUUCACCCCCCCAAAAUCUGUCAGUGAUGAGUUAUUUUGAUUCAGUUCAUACACCACUGCCAAGUCAUGAAUACUCUCAAUUUCAGUAAAACUAAUGUAUUUGCCAGAAUUAUAACCUCUACUGUUAGAAUAGUUUUAAAAAGCUAGAAAGCUAAAUUUAAUCAAUACUUUUAUUUUUAAUCAAGCUUAAAACCCAAACAUGCCAGCCUUAACUUUUGGAAGAUGUCAUUAGACAUUAAAUUCUAGUGCUUCAGCUGUUUAUGGCAAGAAGUUUUUCAUUGUAGCACUGAAAAUCCUUCCUGUAAUGCCUCUUAUUUACAGCUUUACCUCUCAGUCUUUGCUCAUGCCAGCCAAGCAGCAGCCAACUCAAAAGGAUUUAAUUGCACAGUGAAGUAUUAGGCCUCCAAACAAGCCACUGCAUAUGACUAUUACUGCCUAAAACAAGAAAUAAAACAUGAAUUGCCUCGUAGAAGCAGUUCUGCACUGCACUGGCAAUUCAACACGAUGACUGUCAGAACCAGAUGCAGGAACCAAAACCUUUUUUGUUUUUACAUUUGCCUUCUGUAAUUUUGUUUAAAAGUCAUUCAGUUUGCAAAUUGUAACAGAAUAAAUCUUGCUGCUCAGUUGCUGUGCUCUGCAAGGCCAACUCUGCAUACUUACCUCUGAAUAGGAGCAGUUUUGGUUCCCUACCUGGAAGCUGGAAGAUAAUUUUGGUACAAUGACAAUUAAUGCAUCCUAAGAACCAACACUGAUAGUUUAGAGACCUACCAACACCCACAAAUGCAGUAGGUUUUAAGAUAUUGAUUCAAAACAUUGCACUUUUGUCCUACACACAAAGUGUAAUGUAUAAAAAUCAGUGCUUUCUUCUUUCUGAAGGCAGGAGGAGGUGAAAGCAUGUGUGUGGUGGUGCAACUGCUUCAGCUGAACAGCCCAAUAAUUGAUUGUCCAAGAAAAAAAAACAUUCACAAAAGUUUUAUUAAAAAAAUUCCCCUUUCACCUCAAACAAGUGAAGCUUAAGUUCUGUACUACUAGGUUAUGUUUAGAAAAAUGGAAAUAAUACAGUAAUUUUUGAAGGCUAUACAUUGUAAAAUCCCAUAAGUCAGCAUAAUCUUGGACUGUGCAAGCAAAUAUAGCAAGUAUUUCAGAUGUUAUUUAUUUGGUCCAUCAGAUGUACAGUAUAGUAGUAGUAUCUGAGUUUACAAAACAUCAAAUAUAAAUAACCUGAAACUGUAACAAUACACAAAAAUUUGCUUCUUACAUUGACAUACCAGGCAGUACGAGCUGAAAAACUGGAGUAAAUUAACAGUUUUACAGUAAUGUACACAGUGCCAGCUGAUGUUUGAGAACACUGUUAGAACAUGGCACUAAUUUGCUUGAAUUUUUUUCUUUACUUGUUCAGGGUGUGAAAAAUGUUUAGGACUAGGCUAAAAAUGUUUUUCUUCAAGCAUCUGUGACUGUGUGAAUGCUGGAGGUGAAGCCCUCACACAUGGAAUAAGGGAUAAGUAAAUGUGCAGGCAGGCCACUGCUGGGAAACUUCAAAGGUACUCACUGAAAAACUAGAAGUGUAGUUGCUUCAAAUCUGGGCAUCAGAUUUUACUAAACAAGUGGACAUUGUUUUUGCCCUGUUGGAUGAUACCUAAGAGGUAUUUACACAGAAAUAACAUGCUUUUUCCAUGAUUGUUUAAGCAAAUACUUAUCUGUAAGUAUUUAUAAGCUAUGUUUCUAUUACAUUUAAUAUAUGGAAUUAACAUGGAAAACAUUUCUGGACAAGUCUAGUGAUACGAGAGCUUUACCAUCAAGAGAAGCAGACACAAAUUAUUUAAGCCAGUGAUUUGGUGUUCACUUUGAACCAAGGCCUUAACAUUAGUCUAGUUCUGGACAUUUUUCACAUCCCAACACCAUAUGCUGUUACAGUAUUACAUUAUGUUGUCAAGGGGCAUUUGUGUGUUCAAUCAAAUGCCCUUGCUCCUGCUCUGCCAGCUCAGCACACGCUCUUGGUGGUGACGUACUCGCAGCCCUUCUCUUCGAGUUUCCUCUUGUGGCUCCUGUUCUCCUCCUCAGCGUUGCCUGAAGUACCUUCAUCCUCAGAAUCCACGAUCAUCAGGUCGUCCUGGUCCGAGCCCUGCCCAGCACGAGCCCUCUUUGCCCCGCCACACUCACACUGCUGGCCCAGUUUCCUCUUGCGGCUCCUGUUCUCCACCUCAUCAUCGGCGGUGCCUGAAGGACCUUCAUCUUCAGAGUCAACAAUCACCACAUCGUCCUGAUCUGGAGCUGCAAAACACAGAUGGAUACUGCAAAGACAGCCUGCCCUCCAGCUGAUUUUCAUACACAACAAUAAGCAUGUCUCUAAUACAAGAAAUCCACCUUGGAACAUUCUUUAUCCCUGUUCUUUGCUAUUCGACUGCAAGAGGGUUUUCGAUUUCCCUGAAGUGACUAUAAAAUAUGGCUUUCACAGUGUUAUUCCUUCUUCACCAAAGGUAUGGAAAAUAUUGCAAUAACCCAAGAAUUAGGGAAAUGCAGAAGAGGAGACUGAGGGGAGACCUCAGUGCAGUUCCAAUUCCUGGGCAGGGGCAGAGGAGGGGCAGGGACUGAGCUCUGCUCUGGGGGGACCAGGGACAGCAGCCAGGGAAUGGCUGGAGCUGUGUCAGGGCAGGCUCAGGUUGGAUCUCAGCCAAAGGUUCUUCCCCCAGAGGCUGGUUGGGCACUGCCCAGGCUCCCCAGGGCAGUGGGCACAGCCCCAAGGCUGCCAGAGCUCCAGGAGGGUUUGGCUGAUCCUCUGGGGCACAGGGGGUGACUCCUGGGGCUGGGCCUGUGCAGGGCCAGGGGUUGGACUGGAUGGUCCUUGUGAGUCCCUUCCAACUCAGCAUGUUCUGUGACUCUGUAACUUGUUCUGCAUGCACAAAGCAGAACAAUCCCAUGCUGCCUGGAGCAGUUUUUGAGAAAAGAACUUUUCCAAACCCCAAGCUGUAGUGCAGCCUCUCCUCUCCAUCCACACUCAGCAGAACUCCCAGGAGAGGCCACACUCCAUGAGAGAGAACCCACAAAGAAAGGGAGAAGUGGAAGGGUGAGCAGAUUUACAGAGCUAGAGGAUAACAAUGGAUAGUAUAAAAAGGCAAAAUAGAACCAAAUGUGAACUUAUAAGACAUCUAGUGGAUUUGGUUUGUUUUUAAGCACAAAUUCACUGUAAAAACUAAUUUUAUGCUAUUUUUGUUAUUUUUUUAAUAUAAUUUGAAAUAAAUUUUAGCAGUGUUCUUUAAAUUUAGUCUCCCCUGAAACAGGAGGCAAGUGACUACAUACUUGUCUGCUUUAAUCUGCCAGGCAAAGGAACAGCAUCCCACAGUGUAAACAGAACUAUGGAUCCCUAACUCACAUCUGCCACAGCAAGUCCUUGGAUUCAUACACUGUCCCUGUCAAGCAGUGUGACAUUUCCAGUUCAUUAGCCUCCACUUCUUAAGCAUUCCAUGUGCAUUUAAGUUAAGCUAUUUUGAGUGUGUUCAAAGAAAGUCCACAUUAGGAAGGUGAUGGUAUUUCUUCCUGAGAGCAGAGUCUUUUCUCUUUAGGGAGAAAGUGAUAAAUUUGGUUGAUUCUUUUUUGUCAAGCAGCAGUGUGACUAUGAGUUAGGAAGGGUCUAACUUUAUUUAAAUCACUGUGCAAAUGAUACAUUUAAGCUGACACCCCACCAGGCCCUUGCCAGGUAAAUAAUAUAAUUUCAAGCUGUAUUUGCUGUAAACUUCUGUGCAUUUUGUAACAACUGUAAAUGUGCAUUUUUCUAUUUAAUAUCUCAAGUUAUACACAGAGGCAACUUAAAUGCCUUUUAUUUUGUUUUGGCAAAGUUAAGUCAUAAAACUGAAGACAACUACUUUAAUUGGACUGCACUGUUGAAAGACUAUUUGGUUUAAUUGAAUACCAAACCCUGUUAUUUACCUGUUGAUGUUGAGGGCUGUGCUCCAUCAUCACUCCCAUUGCUGAUGUUCCUCGAUGGUGGUUCGGAUGGUUUAGGGCCAAUUCUUUCAGGGGCGUCACCAACAACUUCAAAUUCCACAUCUUUUUCUAGGUCUUCACUGCAGAAAAAACACAUGUGCUUUGGAACACCCAGGAGAAAACAAAACCCUGCCUUUUCACAAAGAAAACAUCAUUCAAGUAUUACAGCACCCUGCAACUAUGACAAAAGGAGAAAAACAUAUCGAAAAAGAGGCAAAGCUGGUCAGUCCUCCUUUGUAAUUCAUGCUUUGUCCAUUCAUAAACACUGUUCCACCCAGGGCCAGGCUUUAACAUGCUCAGGAGGCAGAAAAAUCAUUACCUGAGCUCACCUUUGCUCCUUAAUGUCCCACUCCUAUUCUCUCUGAACAUCUAGUGUGUUCAUUUACUGUCUAUAACGUGUCUGUUACUUAUCCAGGGUUACAUACACUCACCAGUUAUUUCAAAGUGACUUCUCAACACAGGUAGUCAAGUAGAGGAUCUGUUACCUCAGGUUUCCUUUUUAAAUUUUGUUUUAUUUCAAAUGGCAGUUUCUUGCUAGUUGUUUCCCCAAAAGUAUAUUUGGUUUUGCACUGUGUUUUUAUGUUGUGUAAUGACAAAUUAUUCAAAGAAACCUUUCUGAUGCUGUUGUAAAAAACCAAAACCACAACAACAAAACCACCCAAAACAAAACCAAACAAAAAGCCUUAAACUCUAUAAUUUCAUAAAAAAAAAUAACAAUUCCUCUUUUACCACUACAUUUGUUUUCAGCAGCUUAGUCUUGGAACUUCGUCCAUGUAUUUUAAAAUUCUGAGUGGAAAACCCCUGUGGAACUGUUCUACAUACACACAUCCCAAAUCAUUAUUUCAGAAUCUUACCUAUGAAGCACAUUGAUUAACAGAGUGUAGUCCUGCAGGAAAUCAUCUGCCUGUAGUCGAGUGCCAUUUCGAAUUGCAAAGUCUGAUAACUUCCUGUGGUUAUUUGCUACAAAAACAAUAAAAUCUGCAGUGUUUACAGCUAUUUAUAUAAAGAUCCUUUACACCUGAAUCAAUAUGAUGAAAGGAAUACUCCAGAAGUUUUAUGUAGAAACAUAAGCUUAGCAUUUAUGAGCUAUAUUUAAAGUAAAAGCUGACUUUUAAGCCUGUUAGGAGUUAAAACUACUUAUGUUGACUUAUUUACCCCUCAUGCAUCGUGUUCAAGCUCUUCACAAUUCCAUUUAGGAACAUUUUGGAGAUGAUAUCUGUACUUCAGUAGUGCCUACAAGCAUCAUAAACAGACCACCCUCUAAGAACCACAAAAUGAAGGGGGCUUGCAAACAGGUACCUAUUUUGGAGAGGAAUCCUGGAAGUACUUCCUGCAGGAAAGCUGGACAUGCAGGCCUGCACACAAUACCACUGCCUGUUCUCAGGCCACUCAAAACACUUGCAAAUCCAGUUCUCUUUAAAUAUCAGUCUACAGGAUGAACACUGCAACACCUGCUAUGCACAUAUUUUGUAUGGUUUCUUCCAAGGUUUUGUCUACUCUUAUCUAAAAACCUUCAGGACUCAUACCUUCUGUUUCUCCUUCUUCUGAAGAGAUAAGGAUAGUUCCCUUUCCAUCAUCUAUUUCUACAUCUGGUGCUACCAUAGCAAAUUUCUCUUUCAGUAUCUGAAAAUACAAAUAUGAUUAUUUAAUCAAUAUCUGACUUAAACACACUUAUAAAAAAAGAACCUUGAAUUAUGUUGAUUUUAUUAUCCUGGCAUCUACUGAAAGCCUAUACUUUUCUUUUUUUCCACUUCCUUGAACAAACUGAUUAUAUUUUUGAUGUCUGAUAUCUCCAGGUUCAGAUAUGCUGGAAAGUUUUUUAGAAUACUUCAUAAAAUGACAGAAUUACAAAUCAAUUGUGACUAAACAACUGUAAUGUGGCUACUGAACUAUUCAACUGCAAUAUAAAUUUAGUUUGUUGUUGUCAGAUAUGAAUAGGCUUUAAAACCAUAAAAAAAUUACCAAAUGCAAACAUUCCUUCACAAGACACAGAACACACAUGGGCAAGAAGCAUCUUGGUUAAUCCAGCUCUUCUUGCAGCUGAGAGAAAUGUAAAUAUAAGCAGGUGAUGCUCAGUCAAAACACAAUGAACAAAAGCCUACCUUUAAAAAUAUACAGUAUUAGGAUCACCCUCGUAUCUGACUCGGGAUUUACCUUAUCCUGGAGUGUUAACACAGUAACUUUGUGCACGUUCAGCUUCACAGUCACUUCUGGCUUACUUGCACACACAUAACAGUUAGGGUUUGGUGGAUCCAAAGCACAAGGAACCAACAGCUUCUUCCUGGGAUUCGGC